GAUGAACGCUGGCGGCGUGCUUAACACAUGCAAGUCGAACGAAGCACUUUAUUUGAUUUCCUUCGGGACUGAUUAUUUUGUGACUGAGUGGCGGACGGGUGAGUAACGCGUGGGUAACCUGCCUUGUACAGGGGGAUAACAGUUGGAAACGGCUGCUAAUACCGCAUAAGCGCACAGCAUCGCAUGAUGCAGUGUGAAAAACUCCGGUGGUAUAAGAUGGACCCGCGUUGGAUUAGCUAGUUGGUGAGGUAACGGCCCACCAAGGCGACGAUCCAUAGCCGACCUGAGAGGGUGACCGGCCACAUUGGGACUGAGACACGGCCCAAACUCCUACGGGAGGCAGCAGUGGGGAAUAUUGCACAAUGGGCGAAAGCCUGAUGCAGCGACGCCGCGUGAGCGAAGAAGUAUUUAGGUAUGUAAAGCUCUAUCAGCAGGGAAGAUAAUGACGGUACCUGACGAAGAAGCACCGGCUAAAUACGUG
rnacentral:rRNA from 1 species